rnacentral:misc_RNA from 1 species
UGCGGAGGGAUCAUUACCGAGUUAUACAACUCAUCAACCCUGUGAACAUACCUAUAACGUUGCCUCGGCGGGAACAGACGGCCCCGUAACACGGGCCGCCCCCGCCAGAGGACCCCCUAACUCUGUUUCUAUAAUGUUUCUUCUGAGUAAACAAGCAAAUAAAUUAAAACUUUCAACAACGGAUCUCUUGGCUCUGGCAUCGAUGAAGAACGCAGCGAAAUGCGAUAAGUAAUGUGAAUUGCAGAAUUCAGUGAAUCAUCGAAUCUUUGAACGCACAUUGCGCCCGCCAGUAUUCUGGCGGGCAUGCCUGUUCGAGCGUCAUUACAACCCUCAGGCCCCCGGGCCUGGCGUUGGGGAUCGGCGGAAGCCCCCUGCGGGCACAACGCCGUCCCCCAAAUACAGUGGCGGUCCCGCCGCAGCUUCCAUUGCGUAGUAGCUAACACCUCGCAACUGGAGAGCGGCGCGGCCACGCCGUAAAACACCCAACUUCUGAAUGUUGACCUCGAAUCAGGUAGGAAUACCCGCUGAACUUAAGCAUA